rnacentral:rRNA from 1 species
UACGUAUGGUGCAAGCGUUAUCCGGAUUUACUGGGUGUAAAGGGAGCGCAGGCGGUGCGGCAAGUCUGAUGUGAAAGCCCGGGGCUCAACUCCGGUACUGCAUUGGAAACUGUCGUACUAGAGUGUCGGAGGGGUAAGUGGAAUUCCUAGUGUAGCGGUGAAAUGCGUAGAUAUUAGGAGGAACACCAGUGGCGAAGGCGGCUUACUGGACGAUAACUGACGCUGAGGCUCGAAAGCGUGGGGAGCAAACAGG